UACGGGGGAGGCAAGCGUUGUUCGGAAUUACUGGGCGUAAAGGGCUCGUAGGCGGCCAACUAAGUCAUACGUGAAAUCCCUCAGCUUAACUGGGGAACUGCGUGUGAUACUGGAUGGCUUGGAUUUGGGAGAGGGAUGCGGAAUUCCAGGUGUAGCGGUGAAAUGCGUAGAUAUCUGGAGGAACACCGGUGGCGAAAGCGCGAGACUGGGCCGUAACUGACGCUGAGGAACGAAAGCCAGGGGAGCAAAAGGG
rnacentral:rRNA from 1 species